GUCCGUGUAGCUCAGUGGAUAGAGCGACACCGUAACGCAGUUGUAGGUCGUGGGUUCGAUUCCCACCACGGGCA
rnacentral:tRNA from 1 species